AGUGUCACUGCGCGCCCUUUGACCAGCGAGCCCGCUGGAAUUUAGUGACUGGGAUCGACGUCGCCGUUCGCAGUAAAGGGGAGCGCACAGACUCGGGGAAGGUCCCGUUCUCUGGUGAGGAGGUGGCCGCCCGCGCUCUGGAAGCAGGGGGAACUGGCUCCUCCUGGGGAGGAGAGUGCCUGGGGUAAGAAGCUCGGAGAUCAUCCUGACGUCACUGCAACCAUGAUUUCACCAGGCUUGUGCACUGUGAGGUUAUCGCGAUCUGAAAUCUCUGCUGCUGGAAAGAGGAAUUUAUUCACAAGACUCUAAUCUAGGAUGACCCUUCACUCGUACAAACCGGCUGACGAGUGAUGGCAGUGUCCCCCAAGUCGAGCUCACAACAUGCUCAGGAGCUGCCUUCCUCUGGAGCAUCCUGCAUCACAGCCCCAGGGCCCUGAGUGCAAGGUGUAUCUGUGAACCAACAGUGAAGCACAC